rnacentral:rRNA from 1 species
AUUGAACGCUGGCGGCAGGCCUAACACAUGCAAGUCGAGCGGAUGAAGGGAGCUUGCUCCUGGAUUCAGCGGCGGACGGGUGAGUAAUGCCUAGGAAUCUGCCUGGUAGUGGGGGAUAACGUCCGGAAACGGGCGCUAAUACCGCAUACGUCCUGAGGGAGAAAGUGGGGGAUCUUCGGACCUCACGCUAUCAGAUGAGCCUAGGUCGGAUUAGCUAGUUGGUGGGGUAAAGGCCUACCAAGGCGACGAUCCGUAACUGGUCUGAGAGGAUGAUCAGUCACACUGGAACUGAGACACGGUCCAGACUCCUACGGGAGGCAGCAGUGGGGAAUAUUGGACAAUGGGCGAGAGCCUGAUCCAACCAUGCCGCGUGUGUGAAGAAGGUCUUCGGAUUGUAAAGCACUUUAAGUUGGGAGGAAGGGCAGUAAGUUAAUACCUUGCUGUUUUGACGUUACCAACAGAAUAAGCACCGGCUAACUUCGUG